CGCCCUGCCAGCCCUCCGGCCAAUGAGCUGAGGAGACCCCGCUCCCGGGCACGCCCCCCGAGCGGGGCUCGCCCCGGCGGCGCCGCCUUCCCGCCAGCGGCCGCGCCCUCGGCGCUGAGGGGAGCGGGGGGCGCCCGGCCGCGGGGGACCCGGACACGGGGCUCGGGCACGGCCCGGAGCGGCCCAGGCGCUGGGGUGAGCCGAGGGCGCUCCCCGAGAAGUUACCGAGGGGUUAAGCAGCGGGGAAGCGUCCCACGUGCGCUGCCAGGGCUGUGGUAACGCGGCCAGAAGGCACCCGCGGCUUCCUGCUUAGUGGGGAAAGGCUGGGUCGGAAAAUCCGAGUUAGGCUGGUGGCUGCAAUUAACCUCCCGACAAAGAAACAGAAGCAUUAAAAGCAUUAAAACUGCCUUUCUUCCACCCACCCCUUCCGAAAGGACUUGUAAGUGCCAAAUAGAGCACUUACAAAUAGAGCAGGCUGCUCGCCUCCCUCUCACACCUAAUCAAGAAAAAAGCUCCAGAACUAAUAUUCCUACGUAUCACUCUCUUUGAGUCUGCUCCUAUGAGCUGAAGCAAGGAAUUUCUUUCUUACUACCUACUAACAACUUAAAUAAAUUCAGCAAUCGGCAACUUCUGUGUUCAUGUACAAGAAGAGUUAAAAAUCUGAAAGUUACAAACUACAGGUAUAACUAAUAUUGACGAACAGUUUGGCAAUUUC